CUGAUGGAGGGGGAUAACUACUGGAAACGGUAGCUAAUACCGCAUAACGUCGCAAGACCAAAGAGGGGGACCUUCGGGCCUCUUGCCAUCGGAUGUGCCCAGAUGGGAUUAGCUAGUAGGUGGGGUAACGGCUCACCUAGGCGACGAUCCCUAGCUGGUCUGAGAGGAUGACCAGCCACACUGGAACUGAGACACGGUCCAGACUCCUACGGGAGGCAGCAGUGGGGAAUAUUGCACAAUGGGCGCAAGCCUGAUGCAGCCAUGCCGCGUGUAUGAAGAAGGCCUUCGGGUUGUAAAGUACUUUCAGCGGGGAGGAAGGGAGUAAAGUUAAUACCUUUGCUCAUUGACGUUACCCGCAGAAGAAGCACCGGCUAACUCCGUGCCAGCAGCCGCGGUAAUACGGAGGGUGCAAGCGUUAAUCGGAAUUACUGGGCGUAAAGCGCACGCAGGCGGUUUGUUAAGUCAGAUGUGAAAUCCCCGGGCUCAACCUGGGAACUGCAUCUGAUACUGGCAAGCUUGAGUCUCGUAGAGGGGGGUAGAAUUCCAGGUGUAGCGGUGAAAUGCGUAGAGAUCUGGAGGAAUACCGGUGGCGAA
rnacentral:rRNA from 1 species